CGACGGUUGCGAUAAUGAGAGUAUUGCUUCUUGGGAGACUGAAGAAAUUGGCAGCUCCAGCUCUUUGGCGCGCAAAGCACGACUAUUUUCCGCGAACACUCAAACUACACAAUGGCGAGAAGUGCAAGCAACUGUUUUCCCCCAAAGAAAUGGAUCGGCGACUGUCCAGCAUCUGUCAUCACAUGGAGAAGGACGGCAUUGACGCAUGCGUGUUUACUUCAUAUUACAACCUUUACUAUUUCAGUGAUUUCCUGUACUGCUCGAUGGGACGUCAAUACGCUAUAAUUGUUACUGAUGAGAAGGCUGUUACCAUCACUCCAUCUGUUGACUAUGGGUAUCCAUGGAGACGUACAACUUGUGACAACAUCAGCUACACCAACUGGCACAAGGACAAUUUUUAUCACGCUAUUCAACAACAGUUACAAUCUGCAAAGACAGUGGGUUUCGAAUUCCCGGAUAUGGGAGCGUCCUUCAAAAGUUUCUCCGAGGCUUUACCGCAGGCCAAGUUUGUGGACAUUGCGGACGCGGCUAUGCAGAUACGUCGAGUUAAGUCCCCAGAAGAAAUUGAAGUUGUACGCCAGGGCUCCCGAAUAGCGGAGCUCGGGGCGUAUGCCGCGAUAAAGGCCCUUCAUGAGGGUGUUCCAGAAUACGAAGUAACUCUUGCCUCAACAAGCACCAUGGUACGAGAAAUAGCGGCAACCUACCCACACAUUGACAUUAGAGACAGUGAGUUUUGAAUCUUCCUUGAGUUCAAAAUGAGUAUUUAUUUUUUUGUGUGACAUGCGAUGGCCUAGUGUUUAGCAUGUUGGACUGCCGAUUGCGUGGUGUGGAUUGGAGCCCUGCCGGCCUACUUGCGUUUUGCACUCCAGCAACAAUGAAACCAUCCAGUACUUCUCUCAACACGAGAUCGGAGCAACUGAUAAAAUACUGGGAGGGGAGAGAUGAAAGGUCUGCGAUGACUAUGAGACGUGCAGGUAGAGUAAUGUAGUAAUACCCCUGAUCAAGUCAUGCUACACAAAUCUUUGUUCAAGCACUGGCGCAAAUGAGCCAUCACACGUUUCUACAAUCCAUAGAUUCUAUUACACCAGACCUAAGCAUGUCUACCGAAACCUACCAUCGUGGACAAAAGUCUUGGGACAAAUUUGCGCUUUUGGGGCUUUUGCGUUCACGCCAGAAGCGAAUACAACUUCACCUGCCUAACCUUCCCCCUACCCCAUAUACAAUGUUGAAAACUAGUUCCUGUGAAUUCUUCUGAGUUUCGACAUUGUAUUGGGUGGGGAGGGGGCAACAGCAACGCGUUUUAAGGAUAGCAGCGCUUUUUUAACCUUCAGUCGUAAAACACAUACUGUCAGUGCAUUACAUCAGUAUCCCAAGGACGUUUGUCCAUGAUUGUAGCUAAAAACAUGACUCCUCCUCCUGGGUGUUGGAAACGUACCGUGUGCUUAUUGCUGUUAUCUACCUGUCUCAGGGAUAAAAAAUUGUAACGUUUUUUUUUUUUUUCUAUUUUCAGCCUGGUCUUGGUUACAGUCAGGAAUCAAUACAGACGGAGCACAUAACUUUCCUACAACAAUUACUCAGCUUUAGAGCGCACCCUCUUCUACGAUCACGUGCCUUCAGACCGCCACAUGGAACUGUGGGAAGUCAACAACAAGGUCCAUCGCCGGGGAUUGGAAAUAGUUAAGCCAGGCAAGCGCUGCAGUGAUGUCGCACGGGACCUCAACGAAAUUUACAUGGAACACAACAUUCUGCAGUACCGUGUCAUCGGGUAUGGCCACUCUACAGGCAUUCUUUCUCACUACUAUGGGAGAGACUGGGGUCUAGAGUUUCUUGAGCACGUGGAUACCGUAUUGGAACCCGGAAUGGUGAUUACUAUGGAGCCUAUGAUUGUGGUUCCCGAGGGACAACCCGGGGCUGGCGGGUACAGGGAGCAUGACACGUUGAUUAUUACGGAGACUGGGGUCGAGAAUACAACCGCUUCGUUUCCCAUCGGCCCUGAACAAAACAUUGUAAAGAAUUAACGACCACUAAGACUAGAAUCUAACGCUGAGCUGUAAUCUCUGUUAUGGUUCUGGCGUUUCCCUUCUGGUGAUUUCCCUUAUGUGGUUACACAUGGAAACUUGAUUCGUUUGCGUUCGCAAGAAUGCUAGUCAGUCCAUAUAUUACACCAUGCGAGUAAGCUUGGCCAAACCAUCACACUGAUGUUUGUUUACGCAUGGUUAUGUAUGUUGUAGUUGCUUUGGUGGAAGAGAUGGAAAUAUAUAUUCCGCGUAAAAAUUAAGUUAAAUUACGAUAGCUUGAAGAACAACAAGAAAUUUGUCAAGUAUUAAUCAGUCUGACGUUUCAUUUCUAAUUUGUUGGGUCCAUGAAAUAUUUUAAAAUUCUUUUAAAUGAUUUUUUUACACACAUAUACCAAGUAUAAAUAAAGUUAUCAUAUUGUAUCGUAGAUUUCUAUGGUACUAGUUUAUGAGGGCAAAGGCGGAAUCAACUGUCACCUCACUGAAAUCGGAGGAGAUGAUCUGAUGGUAUUUUAGCAGUAUUCUAGAUUUCUUUCAGAUAACGAUUUCCAAUUAUUUCUCUACAUAUAUUAUGUAGUAUUUAACUUAAGGUUCGCACUCUUUUGAACUUUUAAAAUUCUGACUUUUCGUGACCUUUCCGAGUUUUCCAUGACCUUCAUCAAGUAGUUGUUUUCAAAGUAUUUUCAAAACA